UGGGGAAUCUUGCGCAAUGCGCGAAAGCGUGACGCAGCAACGCCGCGUGGGGGAAGACGGCCUUCGGGUUGUAAACCCCUUUCAGUUGGGACGAAGCUUCGACGGUGAAUAGCCGGCUGGAGUGACGGUACCUUCAGAAGAAGCCCCGGCUAACUACGUGCCAGCAGCCGCGGUAAUACGUAGGGGGCAAGCGUUGUCCGGAAUCAUUGGGCGUAAAGCGCGUGUAGGCGGUUCUGUAAGUCUGCUGUGAAAGUCCAGGGCUCAACCCUGGGAUGCCGGUGGAUACUGCAGGGCUAGAGUACGGAAGAGGCGAGUGGAAUUCCCGGUGUAGCGGUGAAAUGCGCAGAUAUCGGGAGGAACACCUAUUGCGAAGGCAGCUCGCUGGGACGUUACUGACGCUGAGACGCGAAAGGCGUGGGGAGCAAACAGGAUUAGAUACC
rnacentral:rRNA from 1 species